AAAAUUUUAUUUAAGAGAUUUAGAGAAUUUUUUAAUUGGUGAAUAUAUUGAUAUGUUAGGAAGAUGGUAUAUAUAGAGAGGGAAUGGGAGUUUUGUUUUUUAUUUUUGAUUUUUGAUUUAUGGAUUAUUUUUAUUUGGUUAUUAUUAAUUGUAUAUUUUAAAAUAAAUUAGUAAUAGUAAAUAAAGUAUUUUGAUGAGUUUUGAGAGUU
rnacentral:misc_RNA from 1 species